ACCCGCUGAACUUAAGCAUAUCAAUAAGCGGAGGAAAAGAAACCAACAGGGAUUGCCCUAGUAACGGCGAGUGAAGCGGCAACAGCUCAAAUUUGAAAUCUGGCUCUUUUAGAGUCCGAGUUGUAAUUUGCAGAGGGCGCUUUGGCUUUGGCAGCGGUCCAAGUUCCUUGGAACAGGACGUCACAGAGGGUGAGAAUCCCGUACGUGGUCGCUGGCUAUUGCCGUGUAAAGCCCCUUCGACGAGUCGAGUCGUUUGGGAAUGCAGCUCUAAAUGGGAGGUACAUUUCUUCUAAAGCUAAAUAUUGGCCAGAGACCGAUAGCGCACAAGUAGAGUGAUCGAAAGAUGAAAAGCACUUUGGAAAGAGAGUCAAACAGCACGUGAAAUUGUUGAAAGGGAAGCGCUUGCAGCCAGACUUGCUUACAGUUGCUCAUCCGGGCUUUUGCCCGGUGCACUCUUCUGUAGGCAGGCCAGCAUCAGUUUGGGCGGUAGGAUAAAGGUCUCUGUCACGUACCUCUCUUCGGGGAGGCCUUAUAGGGGAGACGACAUACUACCAGCCUGGACUGAGGUCCGCGCAUCUGCUAGGAUGCUGGCGUAAUGGCUGU
rnacentral:rRNA from 1 species